rnacentral:rRNA from 1 species
AAUGGGCGAAAGCCUGACGGAGCAAGACCGCGUGCGGGAGGAAGGUCUAUUGACUGUAAACCGCUUUUGAUAGGGAAGAAGAUCUGACGGUACCUAUCGAAUCAGCAUCGGCUAACUCCGUGCCAGCAGCCGCGGUAAUACGGGGGAUGCAAGCGUUAUCCGGAAUUAUUGGGCGUAAAGCGUCCGUAGGUGGUUUUAUAAGUCUGUUGUCAAAUCGCGAGGCUUAACCUCGUACAGGCAGUGGAAACUAUAAGACUAGAGUGCGGUAGGGGUAGAGGGAAUUUCCAGUGUAGCGGUGAAAUGCGUAGAUAUUGGAAAGAACACCGGUGGCGAAGGCGCUCUACUGGGCCUGCACUGACACUGAGGGACGAAAGCUAGGGGAGCGAAAGGGAUUAGAUACCCC